rnacentral:SRP_RNA from 1 species
GCCAGGUGUGGUGACAUGUGCCUAUUUGCCAGGCUGAGCUGGGAGGAUCGCUUGAGCCCAGGAGGUUUGGGCUGUAGUGCGCUAUGCUGAUUGGGUGUCCGCACUAAAUUCAGCAUCAAUAUGGUGACCUCCCAGGAGCAGGGAGAACCACCUGGUUGCCUAAGGAGGGGUUUACUGGCCCAGGUCAGAAACAGAGCAGGUCAAAACUCCCUGGCUAAUGAGUAGUAGGACUGGACCUUUGAAUAGCCACUGCACUCCAGCCUGAACAGCAUAGCAAGACACCAUCUCU